rnacentral:rRNA from 1 species
UACGUAGGGGGCGAGCGUUGUCCGGAUUUAUUGGGCGUAAAGAGCGUGUAGGCUGUUCGGUAAGUCUGCCGUGAAAACCUGAGGCUCAACCUCGGGCGUGCGGUGGAUACUGCCGGGCUAGAGGACGGUAGAGGCGAGUGGAAUUCCCGGUGUAGCGGUGAAAUGCGCAGAUAUCGGGAGGAACACCGGUGGCGAAGGCGGUCUGCUGGGCAGUAGCUGACACUGAGGCGCGACAGCGUGGGGAGCAAACAGG